rnacentral:rRNA from 1 species
UGGGGAAUAUUGCACAAUGGACGGAAGUUUGAUGCAGCGACGCCGCGGGGAGGGUGUAGGCCUUCGGGUUGUGAACUCCUUUUUCUCGCGAAAAAGGCACAGUUUUGGCUGUGUUGAUGGUAGUGGGGGAAGAAGCGCCGGCUAACUACGUGCCAGCAGCCGCGGGAAUACGUAGGGCGCGAGCGUUGUCCGGAUUUAUUGGGCGUAAAGAGCUCGUAGGUGGUUCGUCGCGUCUGUCGUGAAAGCCAGCAGCUUAACUGUUGGUCUGCGGUGGGUACGGGCGGGCUUGAGUGCGGUCGGGGUGACUGGCAUUCCUGGUGUAGCGGUGGCAUGCGCAGCUCUCAGGAGGAACCCCGAUGGCGACGGCAGGUCACUGGGCCGUUCCUGCCACUGAGGAGCGCACGCGUGGGGAUCGACCAGG